CACGUCAGCGCGUUUUGCUUACGUGGACACAAAUCGUGCCUACGAGGACGCGAUUUUCUGACACAUCAGCAAAGCGCGCUGACGUGG
rfam:Gossypium raimondii Chr05_contig_125, whole genome shotgun sequence.